CCGGGCCUCGACGCCGCUGCCGCCGCUGAGCGCGACGCCAUCGUCUUCCGCUCCUACAUCGCCCUCGGCUCCUACCAGCUGGUGAUCAGCUAGAGAAGAAUACUCGCAGGGCUAGCAAGAGGAGGCCUAUGGAGAUAAGCACGAAAGUGCGGCCACCGAAAUUGAGGGAGGUGAUACAGGUUCCCAAAAAGGUUGGAAGGGAUCCAAGAUUUGAGCCUGCUUAUGGAUUUGUUGACAAAGAAGGGUUUAGGAAAAGAUACAAUUUCUUAUUUGAUGAAGACUUUCCUGCUGAAAAAUAAAGACUCCAAAAAAUGAUUAAGAAAUCUAAGGACCUAGAUGCCAUUGGAGAAAUGAAGAGUCGUGUCACAUGGAUUG